GCCCGCGACGGUGCGGCCCGGGGUGGCCGGGCCGCACCUCUCACGCGCUGGGGCCGAACGACUCCAGGGCGAUCCGCUGGAUCGUCUCCUGCUGCGGCCA
rnacentral:tRNA from 1 species